CUUAGCCGUUCAUGGCUCUGUGUUGAUUAUGUUUGAUCGGUUUUUUUGAUACUGUAUUCGACAUUUAUGUGCUAAAUAUGGAUAUUAUAGACAUAACCACAACUUAACACCAUUUGUAUAUGCCGUGGAAUUAUAGGAUGGGUUGUUUUUAUAUUUUCGUGUGAUCAAAUAGAUACUAGGCCUACUAAAUGGCUGGACUUUUCACCUGCAAAUGAUACAUUGUAUACUAAAAUACAGAAUAGAUUCUUUGUAAUUUGGAAGAUAGAAUGGCUUAUAGUGAUAGCAGGUAGACCCGUAUUUAUUAUAAAAGGAAUGGCUGGUAAUUUUUGUCAAUUGAGAAACUGUCAUACAAAAUGGUUGAGAAGUGUGUAAACUGUAAAGUGUAGUAGAAAAGUGAAGAACAGGCAAUAAGCCAAUGGCAUGUAGCAAGUGUGAUCAGUGGACACGCAGGACUUGUGAUACAAAAUUGUCUAGAAAAAGCUAUUUAGAGGCAGUAAGAGUAGGGAAAUCUAUCGAUAUUUUAUGCUUUUUAUGCCGAGUAGGUGACACAUCAAGUGAUCCACGCACCACUAUUCCUACACCACUAUCAAGUUCUGAUAAUAUUAAAAGUUUGCCGGAUUUGCCAACACCAGAAAAGGCUACGACUGACCCAUCUUACAGACCCCUCCUCUCCAUCAAAGCGUAGGAAAACUGUGCACAGACGUGUUGUCUCAAGGCAUCCAAGAGAUGUCACAGAGACCACGGAAAAAAAAGGGUUGGCAGGGUUGAGAUCACAGAGAAUUGAUGGAUUGAAGAUGUUAAUAUCACAGCUGGAUGAUAAAAAAAGAAUGGAAUUGCUAGUUGUCAUAAUAGAAAGACAACCAGGCUUGAAAUUUGCGACAGUUUGACUAUUGCAGCUAGAGACACACCAGUCACGUCUCCACCACCACCGACAAAAAAUUAUGCUAUAAACUUUUGCCUCAAAAUUGCUUAUCUCUAAGACCGGAAAUUGAUAAGUAUUGAUUAGAUGAGUGGGUUUAGAUCGCAUUACAAACAAGUGAUGACAUUUUGUUAGGGUGCCAGAUGAUGAUGGACAGAAAAGGUUUCGCCUUGCUGUCUACCGUCAGUUUUGGAGGCACAGUCGAGAUAAUCAGACAAGUAAUAUCAAACUGUAUAGUCUGCAAAGUAAAUAGGAGGUAUCCUGACAAAUGGGUAUAACCAUGAAUGAAGGAGCACUGUUCAAAAGACCUACCCAAAUUAUCAAACAAAACAUUUUUUUCUAUUAGUUAAAGAUACAUUAUGGUGGAUUAGAUAAAGAUCUGGCAGUUCUCACUAUAAUAGUUAAAACUAGAUGAUGUAAAUGGAAUAUGCUGAGAAUUUCAGUCAAAUUGCUUCACUAUAAGACUAUAAGCCGAGAAAACUUUAUUGUAACAAUGACUGUAGCCUCAAUUGUCAUUGUUACCGCCGAGAAAACCUUUGUUUAAAAAUGACUGUAGCUUCGAUUGUCAUUGUUACUGCUGUCACGAUAAUAAACAAAGUCCUGAUUAUCCAUUGUUGCGUUUAAUCAACAGACGGCGAACAGCAGAUCAGAUUCAAAUCCAAUGAAAAUCGGACACCUUUGAUGACAUCAAGAGUUGAUUAUAAUAAAUGUCUAAUUAAUACAUGUAGUUUAUAUACUAUUCAAAAAAAGUAGGGGAUAUUUGAUUUUUAAGUGUUAUUAAAGUCACCUAAUGAAACUGACGAAGAAACAAAUGACAAAAUGAAAUGAAGUUCACAUUCAUCGAUUUAUUCCAAAUGAUCGUUAGACUAAGUAAGGCACAGACUGACCAUUAUAAGGGUAAAAUGAUACCCGGGGUCAAACAGCAAAGUUACCACAGCAUCACAACCAAGUCAGUAACGGGUAAAUCCUCU